GAUGAAGAACGUAGCGAAAUGCGAUAAGUAGUGUGAAUUGCAGAAUUCAGUGAAUCAUCGAAUCUUUGAACGCACAUUGCGCCCCUUGGUAUUCCAUGGGGCAUGCCUGUUCGAGCGUCAUUUGUACCUUCAAGCUUUGCUUGGUGUUGGGUGUUUGUCCCUCGGGACUCGCCUUAAAGUCAUUGGCAGCCAGUGUUUUGGUUUUGAAGCGCAGCACAAGUCGCGAUUCAAGGCUAUCCGCCCGCUUCCACAAGCCUUUUUCACUUUUGACCUCGGAUCAGGUAGGGAUACCCGCUGAACUUAAGAAUAUCAAUAAGCGGAGGA
rnacentral:misc_RNA from 1 species